rnacentral:rRNA from 1 species
UAACGAGCGCAACCCCUACCCUUUAGUUGCCAUCAGGUUAAGCUGGGGACUCUAAAGGAACUGCCUACGCAAGUAGUGAGGAAGGCGGGGAGUGACGUCAAAUCAGCACGGCCCUUACGUCCAGGGCUACACACGUGCUACAAUGGCCGAUACAGAGGGCAGCUACCUGGUGACAGGAUGCAAAUCUCCAAAGUCGGUCUCAGUUCGGAUCGGAGUCUGCAACCCGACUCCGUGAAGUUGGAUUCGCUAGUAAUCGCGCAUCAGCCAUGGCGCGGUGAAUACGUUCCCGGGCCUU